GGGGGACCUUCGGGCCUCUUGCCAUCGGAUGUGCCCAGAUGGGAUUAGCUAGUAGGUGGGGUAACGGCUCACCUAGGCGACGAUCCCUAGCUGGUCUGAGAGGAUGACCAGCCACACUGGAACUGAGACACGGUCCAGACUCCUACGGGAGGCAGCAGUGGGGAAUAUUGCACAAUGGGCGCAAGCCUGAUGCAGCCAUGCCGCGUGUAUGAAGAAGGCCUUCGGGUUGUAAAGUACUUUCAGCGGGGAGGAAGGGAGUAAAGUUAAUACCUUUGCUCAUUGACGUUACCCGCAGAAGAAGCACCGGCUAACUCCGUGCCAGCAGCCGCGGUAAUACGGAGGGUGCACAGCUGUUAUAUCGGAAGUUCCCGGACAUACUCACCCUCCCCACUUUCCC
rnacentral:rRNA from 1 species